rnacentral:rRNA from 1 species
UGGGGAAUAUUGCACAAUGGGCGCAAGCCUGAUGCAGCCAUGCCGCGUGUGUGAAGAAGGCCUUCGGGUUGUAAAGCACUUUCAGCGGGGAGGAAGGCGAUAAGGUUAAUAACCUCAUCGAUUGACGUUACCCGCAGAAGAAGCACCGGCUAACUCCGUGCCAGCAGCCGCGGUAAUACGGAGGGUGCAAGCGUUAAUCGGAAUUACUGGGCGUAAAGCGCACGCAGGCGGUCUGUCAAGUCGGAUGUGAAAUCCCCGGGCUCAACCUGGGAACUGCAUUCGAAACUGGCAGGCUAGAGUCUUGUAGAGGGGGGUAGAAUUCCAGGUGUAGCGGUGAAAUGCGUAGAGAUCUGGAGGAAUACCGGUGGCGGAGGCGGCCCCCUGGACAAAGACUGACGCUCAGGUGCGAAAGCGUGGGGAGCAAACAGG